AUGCCAUUUGGGCACAAAACCAAUUUCAAAACCCAGAGUGCAAAACUUAAUUUGCGUAGCCAUGGGAAUAUCAAAUUUAUAGUGUUUUGGUUUACAAAUCGACUGCACCAGGUUGCAUUUUCUAGACUACAUUGUUGCCAAAUAAUGAAAGGAAACAUGAAACAAUUAUGUAAUGCCCAGCUACUUGUAAAACUAGUAACAUAUGUUAUCAUGUGUCAAGGCAUGGAAUUAGAUAUUAAAAGGUUUCCCAUGGCAUCAAAUCCAAGACCAAAAAUGAGCAACUCAAAUAUAGGUACAAUCAGUGGUCCAAUAAAAAUAAUUAGCCAGUAA